AUUGAACGCUGGCGGCAGGCCUAACACAUGCAAGUCGAGCGAGCGGCGGACGGGUGAGUAAUGUAUGGGGACUGCCCGAUAGAGGGGGAUAACUACUGGAAACGGUGGCUAAUACCGCAUACUAUCGGAUAACCCAUAUGGGAGUAGCUAUUAGGUGGGGUAAAGGCUCACCUAGGCGACGAUCUCUAGCUGGUCUGGGAGGAUGAUCAGCACAAUUGGAACUGAGACACGGCCCAGAUGCCUACGGAUGCAGCAGUGGGGAAUAUUGACCAAUGGGAGCAAGCCUGAUGCAGCCAUGCCGCGUGUAUGAAGAAGGCCUUAGGGUUGUAAAGUACUUUCAGCGGGGAGGCGUUACCCGCAGAAGAAGCACCGGCUAACUCCGGGCCAGCAGCCGCGGUAAUAC
rnacentral:rRNA from 1 species